CCUACGGGUGGCAGCAGUGGGGAAUAUUGCACAAUGGGGGAAACCCUGAUGCAGCGACGCCGCGUGAGCGAUGAAGUAUUUCGGUAUGUAAAGCUCUAUCAGCAUGGAAGAAAAUGACUCUACCUGACUAAGAAUCCCCGGCUAACUACGUGCCAGCAGCCGCGGUAAUACGGAGGGAGCAAGAGUUAUCCGGAUUUACUGGGUGUAAAGGGAGCGUAGACGGCGGGGCAAGCCAGAUGUGAAAGUCCGGGGCUCAACCCCGGGACUGCAUUUGGAACUGUGCUGCUAGAGUGCCGGAGAGGCAGGCGGAAUUCGUAGUGUAGCGGUGAAAUGCGUAGAUAUUAGGAGGAACACCAGUGGCGAAGGCGGCCUGCUGGACGAUGACUGACGUUGAGGCUCGAAAGCGUGGGGAGCAAACAGGAUUAGAUACCCCAGUAGUC
rnacentral:rRNA from 1 species